GAUGAACGCUAGCUACAGGCUUAACACAUGCAAGUCGAGGGGAAACGACAUCGAAAGCUUGCUUUUGAUGGGCGUCGACCGGCGCACGGGUGAGUAACGCGUAUCCAACCUGCCCACCACUUGGGGAUAACCUUGCGAAAGUAAGACUAAUACCCAAUGACGUCUCUAGAAGACAUCUGAAAGGGAUUAAAGAUUUAUCGGUGAUGGAUGGGGAUGCGUCUGAUUAGCUUGUUGGCGGGGUAACGGCCCACCAAGGCGACGAUCAGUAGGGGUUCUGAGAGGAAGGUCCCCCCANAUUGGAACUGAGACACGGUCCAAAACUCCUACGGGAGGCAGCAGUGAGGAAUAUUGGUCAAUGGGGCAGAGCCUGAACCAGCCAAGUAGCGUGCAGGAUGACGGCCCUAGUGGGUUGUAAACUGCUUUUAUAAGGGAAUAAAGUGAGUCUCGUGAGACUUUUUGCAUGUACCUUAUGAAUAAGGACGGCUAAUUCCGUGCCAGCAGCCGC
rnacentral:rRNA from 1 species